UGGGGAAUUUUGGACAAUGGGCGAAAGCCUGAUCCAGCAAUGCCGCGUGUGUGAAGAAGGCCUUCGGGUUGUAAAGCACUUUUGUCCGGAAAGAAAUCCUUGGCUCUAAUACAGUCGGGGGAUGACGGUACCGGAAGAAUAAGCACCGGCUAACUACGUGCCAGCAGCCGCGGUAAUACGUAGGGUGCAAGCGUUAAUCGGAAUUACUGGGCGUAAAGCGUGCGCAGGCGGUUUGCUAAGACCGAUGUGAAAUCCCCGGGCUCAACCUGGGAACUGCAUUGGUGACUGGCAGGCUAGAGUAUGGCAGAGGGGGGUAGAAUUCCACGUGUAGCAGUGAAAUGCGUAGAGAUGUGGAGGAAUACCGAUGGCGAAGGCAGCCCCCUGGGCCAAUACUGACGCUCAUGCACGAAAGCGUGGGGAGCAAACAGGAUUAGAUACCAUGGUAGUCCACGCCCUAAACGAUGUCAACUAGUUGUUGGGGAUUCAUUUCCUUAGUAACGUAGCUAACGCGUGAAGUUGACCGCCUGGGGAGUACGGUCGCAAGAUUAAAACUCAAAGGAAUUGACGGGGUCAUAGCU
rnacentral:rRNA from 1 species